GAUGAACGCUGGCGGCGUGCCUAAUACAUGCAAGUCGAGCGAACGGACGAGAAGCUUGCUUUUCUGAUGUUAGCGGCGGACGGGUGAGUAACACGUGGAUAACCUACCUAUAAGACUGGGAUAACUUCGGGAAACCGGAGCUAAUACCGGAUAAUAUUUUGAACCGCAUGGUUCAAAAGUGAAAGACGGUCUUGCUGGCACUUAUAGAUGGAUCCCGGCUGCAUUAGCUGGUUGGUAAGUUAACGGCAUACCAAGGCAACGAGGCAUAGCCGACCUGGUAGGGUGAUCGGCCACCCUGGAGCUUGGACGCCGUCCAGGCUACUGCGGGAGGCAGCAGUCUGCUACGUUCCGCAAUGGGCGAAAGCCUGACGGAGCAACGCCGCGUGCGUGAUGAAGGUCUUCCGUUCGUAAAACUCUGUUAUUAGUGAAAAACAUAUGUGUACGUAAAUGUAGACAUCUUGACGGUACCUAAUCAGAAAGCCACGGCUAACUACGUG
rnacentral:rRNA from 1 species